UUUUUAAAUAGAUGUGAAAUGCUGCCAAUAGUGGCAAGCUCAGCCAUAGUUCCAUAGUAUUGUUGUUGUGCAUUCUACUCUUUCAAGAGACAUGUUCAAAGCAAAAUCCCACCUGUGACCUCUAGGGUCACAGGGAUUGUUAUGUCUGCAUGUGCAUCAACAAAAAUGUUGCAGCUGCCAGUUAAUGUUUUCUGUGAUAUUUUCUCACUCGAGUUCGCGAGAAGUUGAGUUCUAAACAGGGUAAGGUGGAAGUUUGGUGUACUGCACUCAGAAGUUACUCAGGAUCACUUUGUUGAAUUGCGCGUUUAGUAUUAGUAGUUGUAGGUUUUGGGGGACGUCGUAAGUAGCCGUCUUGUCUUUUUGGGGUCUUUUUUUCUGUAGGGGAGUUGUUGUAUUUGUGUGGGUGUUUGGACUAUAUGGAAUAGAAUAUGAUUUUAAUGGACUAAUAAGGACACAAUUUGGGUUCUGAAUUGAUGUAAGGCUCUGUGGUUAGACUCAUAUUCACUUGUAUUCUCAGGUGUGUUACAAACAAGGCAAAAAAAAAGGACAAUAUGUUUUUGGAGAAAAGUGCAGCAUUGACCAGACUCAGUCAGUUAGAAGUGUUACAUCAGAACUGUAAGGAAAUAAAUGUUGUUGUAAGGGUAAACUAGCAUCAGAUCCACGGAGUGCACCCCUCCCCUUCAAAGCAUUCCAAAUCGAACUGAAUAUAUGUGUUAUAUCUAUUGAAUGUUUACAUAUUUGCACCAGACAAUGAUUUAAGUGAAGGGACUGUGCCAGAGUUGAUGGUUUUGCUAUAGGUCCUCAGUCGGAGCCAGUUGUGGCAUUUUGACUAGAAGUGCCUCUAUCGUAGCCAUUCUGUCAACAUCUUGGAUACACAUGUCUUUGAACAAACUGGGAAUUGAUGCAUAUUCGUAAAUGAAUUAAUCACAUCUAUUCAAUGUCCCGCUUUUGUCUGUUUUUAUUCAACUUUUAACAUUUGUAAUUUACUUGGAAUGUAUUUUGUUGUUUUCUAAGAAUGUUUUGCAUAUCAAUUAGAUUUGAUUGUAUGAAGUGAAGGUGACUAGGAUUUUUCAUUUUUUAAAGUCAAUGGCUGAAUCUCAAAUCACUCCCUUUACCGCACCCCCCUGGCCAGCCAUUUGCACAUACACGUGUGCCUCUGCCAUAUGCAUAAGUGCCCCAAAGCUGAGGGAGUGGAAAUUAUCAAGGGUGUUGGGGCUAAUUAGACCCUUCUAUAGCCACUUCGACCAAGCCAGAAAGGCUGCAGGCUCCAGAGGGAAGUGUUAUCCGGGGAGGGGUACAGGAGUCUAUCACCGGCUGGGCUGAAUGCAUCGACACCUAGAGGUAAUGCGACGUCAGGAAGAACUACGCCCUCUAGUGGUCUAGGCGCCAACUUGAAGCACCGGGAUAUGUUAGGAGUUUGCAUAAUUUCAUACAAAAGAGUGGACAGGUGUUCCUAAUUAUAUAUGUGCAUUUGUUUGUGCCUGUUUCUGAUACUUGACACGUAAAAUAUGAAACAUCUCCCAAAUUAAAUGUUUGACUGUUGAGGUUAUUAUAUUGUAAAACAACGAGGAAUUUUAUCAUUUUGAAUUUCAUGCUCGUUUUAUUAUUUAAAUGUAGAUCUGGAAUUGCAUCGUUCAAGCUAAUGCCGAGACCCUUAGUAGUUCUUCCUGACGUCUUAUUACCUCUAGGUGUUGACGCAGUCAGCCCAGCCGGUGAUACACUCGUGUCACCCCGCGAUGAGCAGCUACAUAAAGCAUCCUCCAUUCAUGCUGCAAAGGCGUCGGUUUCCUCCUUAACUAGCUUUAAUGGCGAGCAGCCCUAAAAUACCUGGGAAAAUAUGCAUACUGUCUUAAUAAAACACCAUUUUCUACCACCAUGAUGCUACUUCCGGACGUUGCAUGCAGCCUUCAGACAGGGGCAAACAACAGACUGGUGCAACCUAGCAUGGUGGAGGAAAAUUGUUUCAUUAAUUAAGACAGUACGCAUAUAUUCCCAGUUUUCUUUAGGGCUGCUCGCCAUUAAAGUUAGUCUAGGAGGAAAUCGUCACAUUUGCAGCCUAAAGGGAGGAUGUUUUAUGUCGUUUCUAGUCAAGGGGGGACACAAGCAUAUUACCGGCUGGGCAGAUCACCCUGGGACGUCAGAGGGCAAACGAAGUCAAAAAUAAUAUUGCCCUCUGACGAACCUUGGGGCUGCAUUCAAGUCACGAGUGUGUCCCAAAGUUGAUGGGUUUAUUGAGACCCUCUUUACUCUCGUUUCGCUAGCAACAAGUGACAAUUGAGGGUCCUCCGAGUGAGUUGGUAGGGAAGAGUAGCCGGUUUGGGAUAUAACUAGUAUUCUGUCCCAGUCCUUUACCAGAAACAAGGUAGACAUCUUGGAGAUGCAUGGUUUGCGAUGCAUGCGUUGGCCUGUCGGUAGGUACUAUCUGUCAGUGGUACCCAGUUUUCAAGGGGCACCCUGCAGCUCAGGGAUUCAAAUUGACAGGGAAGCACUGCUUUGGUUCAUGGUUGACAUGUUUGAUAUUUGUUGACCGGUGUGUGUUUUAAUGGAUGUUGGCUUUAUAAUUGAGGAAGAUAUAUUUUAAUCUUGCUCAAUUGGGGAAGAUACCUUUCAAUCUUGCUCAAUUGCAUCCUGUAGCUCAGGGAUUAAAAUUGACAGGGAAGCUCAUCUUUUGGUUCAUGGUUGACAUGUUAGAUUUUUGUUGACCCGUGUGUGUACCUUUUAAUCUUGCUCAAUUUAAGUGGUAAAGGUCCCUAACCACUAAGUGUCAAAAAUAAUAGGGCCAGAUCAUCACAACACCUUUGCCUCUGACACAAACAAUUACAUUUACGCUCAUAACUCUUUACUCUGCUGUGCUGUGUUACAAUCAACACUUUAUUUUAUUUGAGGGAACACUAUUGGGGUCUUAUGCAUAAAUCCAUUAUACACUUUAUUGAAAUGGUGAUUAACAACCUCUCGCUUAUUUUCAAUAUGUAUUUGUCAACAUCGUUUUUCUCAUUCUCUUUGAUAGAAUGUAUCAAUGAAAAGAAAUGCUUUUGAAUUGCAGUGAUAUCAGGUGUCAUAUCAUGUUUUAGGGGGGCACAAUGCUUUGUUUAUGUAUGUUGGUGUUCUGGGUUUAAAAAAGUUGCAGACAGAGAAAUUAAAAAGUGAAGAUGUGAUGUUCUACUGUAACAUGUUGUUUCUUAAAGCUACAAUCCUUUGAAAUAAUAACAAAGGGUCACCCCACCUCUGUUUUGGUAAAAAUCUGAGGGAUGGGCCUGGAGAAGUGUUACCACUCUCAAAUUCAUAGACGGAGCUAUGGAUGCAAGGACUGACCAUCCCAUGAUAUAAACAUUCUAGUUUUUGCCAUGUUUUGAGGCUAUAAAGUGUUUUUAAAAUAUAUUUUCUUUGUUUACAAACAUCGGAGCAAAACAAGCUACGUUAUAUUUUGGAUUCUGAUGGGGUACAACAAUUGAACUCAUUUUAUAAGUAAAAAUGUUCAAGAAUCAAUGGCGUAUGUAUCAUUAAUUCGUGAGUCUAAAAAUUGAUGUUGCAACUAAGGAUUCUAGCUUUAACCUCCAUCAUGGGUUUAUGUACUUUGUGUCCAUGUGUCUGCCCUGACUGUAACUUUGACUACCUGUGGCUAUCAGAGCAAUACGUGUUCAAAGCAUGCAUAGAAUGUCAGGACUUGAAACUAAAUAAACAUGAACCUUAUGCAAC
ensembl:lncRNA